rnacentral:lncRNA from 1 species
GAGCUACAGCUGCCAGCCUACACCACAGGCACAGCAACACCAGAUCUGAGCCUCGCCUUCGACCUACACCACAGCUCACAGCAAUGCCGGAUCCUUAACCCACUGAUCAAGGCCAGGGAUCGAACCUACAUCCUCAUGGUUCCUAGUUGGAUUCAUUUCCACUGCGCCAUGAUGGAAACUCCAUCUUUCUUUCUUUCCUUCUUUCUUUUUUAAAUUUUAUGACCACACCUCCAGCAUUUGUAAGUACCCAGGCCAGGGACUGAAGCUGAACCACAGCUAAGACCUGUACCGCAGCUGCAGCAGUGUGGGACCCUUUAACCCACUGCAUCACCAGGCCAGGAUCAAACCUGUGCCUCAGCAGUGACCUGAGCCACUGCAGUCGGGAUUCUUUACCCACGGGUCCACAGCAAGAACUCCCUCAUGUAUGCUCCUGAAUUAGGGUUUUUGUCUCUUCCAGAUAUAUGCCCAGGAGUGGGGCUGCUGGAACAUAGGGUACCUCUGUUUGCUGUGUCCCGCGCCACAGCAUCACCUCCAGCCAGUGCACUGACAAGGCUGGGUCCUCAGUGCUUGGCCCACAAGGGCACUCCCUGUUGUUAGUUUAAGUAACCUCCGUUCUCUUUUCCGUAAUGGCUGCAUUCCUUCCAAGAGCACAGAAGGAUGCCCUUUUCUCCACACCCUUUCCAGCACUGACUACUUGUGGACGUUUUGAUGAUGGUCACUGUGAGAGAGGUGAGGUGAUACCUCGUUGGGGUUUUCAUUUUCGUUUCCCUAGUAACUGGUGAUGUUGAGCAUCUUUUCACGUGCCUAUAGGCCAUCUGUUCGCAUCGUUUGCAGAUAUUUUCUCCCAGUCCAAAGGUUGCCCUUUUUUUGGUCUUUUUUAGGGCUGCAGCCAGGGCAGGCGGAGGUUCCCAGGUUAGGGGUCCAACUGGAGCUGGACCUGCCGGCCUACACCAGAGCCACAGCAACUCGAGAUCCGAGCCAUGUCUGCGACCUCCACCACAGCUCACAGCAACGCCGGAUCCUUAACCCGCUGACCAAGGCCAGGGAUCGAACCCACAACUUAAUGUUUCCUAGUUGAAUUCGUUAACCACGACGGGAACUCCCCCUUUUUAUUUUCUUUAUAGUUUCAUUUGCUGUGCAAAAGCUUAUAGGGUUGAUCAGGUCCCAUUUUUUAUUUAUUUUUAUUUAUUUUUAAAUUUUAUUUGUUUAUUUAUUCUGCUUUUUAGGGCCACACCUGUGACACAGGGAAGUUCCCAGGCUAGAGGUCAAAUCAUAGCUGCAGCUGCUGGCCUACACCACAGCCACGCGAUGUGAGAUCCGAGACGCUUCUGCGACCUACACCACAGCUCACGGCAAUGCUGGAUCCCCGACCCACACUGGGUAAGGCCAGGGUUCGAAUGUGCAUCCUCAUGGAUACUAGUCAGCUUGAUUUCUACGUCUCCACAUGAGGAACUCCUCGUUUUUGCUUUUAUUUAUUUUUUGCCUUAGGAGACUGUUCAGAGAAAAUACUGCUAUAAUUUAUGUUAGAGAAUGUUUUGCCUGUGUUCUCUUCUAGGAGAUUUGUGGUGUCCUGCCUUAUAGUUAAGACUUUAAUCCAUUUGGAGUUUAUUUUUGCGUGUGGUAUGAGGGAGUGUUCUAACUUCCCUGAUUUACAUACAGCUGUUCAGGUUUUGCAACACCUGUCUUUUCUCCAUUUUGUAGUCUUUCCUCCUUUGUCAAUUGAACAUAGGUGUGUGGGUUUGCCUCUGGGCUUUCGAUUCUGUUCCAGUGAACUGUCUUUCUCUUUCUGUGCCAAUAUAAUGCUGUUUUCUUUAAUUGUUUUGUUUUUUGUCUUUUUUUUUCCCCCCAGGGCCGCACCAGUGGCACAUGGAAGCUCCCAGGCUAGAGGUCCAAUCUGAAUCAGAGCUGCAGCUGCCAGCCUACACCACAGCCACAGCAACUCAGGAUCUGAGCUGUAGCUGCGACCCACACCACAGCUCACGGCAACGCUGGAUCCCCAACCCACUGAGCAAGGCCAGGGAUCGAACCUGCAUCCUCAUGGAUACCAGUCGGGUUCGUCAACCACCAAAGCCUCGGCAGGAACUCCCAUAAUGCUGUUUUGAUUUCUGUAGCUUUGUACGACUCUCUGACACCUGGAAAGGUUAUGCUUGUAGCUUCUUACUCCUUCCUCAGCAUUGCUUUGGCAUUUCUGAGUCUUCUGUGGUCCUAUAUAAAUUUUACAAUUAUUUGUUCUGCCUUCAGGGGUCAUGGAACAGGAAGCUCUACCACACUCUGGUUCAUGAGGAACUUUGAAAUGUUUGCUGAAAAUGGCAAUGAGGAACAAAGUUUUUCAGAAACAUUCUAAGCUCAUCCAGUGUGAGCUACCAUUAUACUACAGUUGAACUGACGCUGCAGUUCUAGGAGAUGGUGUGUUAGAGUCACAAACACAUCUCAGAGGCGAGACCCCCUCCCAGCCAUCAGUCUUACCUAGCCUACGAUCCUGGCAGGAAGAAGGCGUCGGAUGACUAUUUUGCUAAGUCAAAAGAGACUGUGAGGGGAGAAGGAAGAGAUGCUCACAUCUCCAACAGGGACUCCUCUAGGGGAGAAACUAAACCAGUGGAAAAAGUCACAGAGGCAGGAGGAAUCAUUCCUGAGAAAUGAACUGCGUUUGUGGAGAUAAACGACAGGCCCUAAACACCACCCUAAACCCUGACCGCUGUUAAUAUAGUUUAAUGUAAUCCUCACUGAUGGUGGUGGUCUGUGUAGCAUUUAAUCUGAUAUUAAAGUUAUUCCAGGAAGU